rnacentral:rRNA from 1 species
GACGAACGCUGGCGGCGUGCUUAACACAUGCAAGUCGAGCGGUAAGGCUCCUUCGGGAGUACACGAGCGGCGAACGGGUGAGUAACACGUGAGCAAUCUACCCUUCUCAUCGGAAUAACCAUUGGAAACGAUGGCUAAUGCCGAAUAUGACCUCCUUUCGCAUGAUCGGAGGUGGAAAGCUCCGGCGGAGAAGGAUGAGCUCGCGGCCUAUCAGCUUGUUGGUGAGGUAAUGGCUCACCAAGGCAUUGACGGGUAGCCGGCCUGAGAGGGUGACCGGCCACACUGGGACUGAGACACGGCCCAGACUCCUACGGGAGGCAGCAGUGGGGAAUAUUGGACAAUGGGCGCAAGCCUGAUCCAGCAACGCCGCGUGAGGGAUGACGGCCUUCGGGUUGUAAACCUCUUUCAGUAGGGACGAAGCGAAAGUGACGGUACCUACAGAAGAAGGACCGGCCAACUACGUGCCAGCCGCCGCGGUAACAC